UCGAACGAGAAAGCCCGCAAGGGUGAGUAAAGUGGCGUACGGGUGAGUAACACGUGGGUAAUCUGCUCUUUGGUGGGGAAUAACCCUGGGAAACCGGGACUAACACCGCAUAAGCUCGCAAGAGGAAAAGAGAAAUCUGCCGAAGAAGGAGCCCGCGGCUGAUUAGCUAGUUGGUGGGGUAAAGGCUCACCAAGGCGAAGAUCGGUAGCCGGCCUGAGAGGGCACACGGCCACACUGGCACUGAAACACGGGCCAGACUCCUACGGGAGGCAGCAGUGGGGAAUCUUGCACAAUGGGGGAAACCCUGAUGCAGCGACGCCGCGUGAGCGAUGAAGCCCUUCGGGGUGUAAAGCUCUUUCGGCAGGAACGAUAAUGACGGUACCUGAAGAAGAAGCUGCGGCUAACUACGUGCCAGCAGCCGCGGUAAUACGUAGGCAGCGAGCGUUG
rnacentral:rRNA from 1 species